CAGUCGCCGCGGUAAUACGUAGGGUGCAAGCGUUAAUCGGAAUUACUGGGCGUAAAGCGUGCGCAGGCGGUUUGUUAAGACAGAUGUGAAAUCCCCGGGCUUAACCUGGGAACUGCAUUUGUGACUGGCAAGCUAGAGUAUGGCAGAGGGGGGUGGAAUUCCGCGUGUAGCAGUGAAAUGCGUAGAUAUGCGGAGGAACACCGAUGGCGAAGGCAGCCCCCUGGGCCAAUACUGACGCUCAUGCACGAAAGCGUGGGGAGCAAACAGGAUUAGAUACCCCUGUAGUCCCUGUCUCUUAUAC
rnacentral:rRNA from 1 species